CCUGGUUGAUCCUGCCAGUAGUCAUAUGCUUGUCUCAAAGAUUAAGCCAUGCAUGUGUAAGCACACACUGUUUUAAAAGUGAAGCCGCGAAUGGCUCAUUACAACAGCCACAGUUUAUUAGAACUUACAAUCAUGGAUAACUGUGGUAAUUCUAGAGCUAAUACACGCACAAAAACUUCAACUGAAUUGGUUGAAGUGCUUUUAUUAGAACAAAAACCGAACGGCGUUUGGCGAAUGUUGAACGUCGAAACUGUUUGGUGAAUCUGAAUAACUAUUUCUGAUCGCAUGGUCUAGCACCGGCGACAUCACUUUCAAGUGUCUGCCUUAUCAACCUUCGAUGGUAGUCUAUGCGACUACCAUGGUGAUAACGGGUAACGGAGAAUCAGGGUUCGACUCCGGAGAGGGAGCCUGAGAAACGGCUACCACAUCCAAGGAGGGCAGCAGGCGCGCAAAUUACCCCACUCCCAGCUUGGGGAGGUAGUGACGAAAAAUAACGAGACGAUUCUCGUUUGAGAAACGUUAUCGAAAUGAGUACGCUUUACACACGCUAACGAGUAGCAAUUGGAGGGCAAGUCUGGUGCCAGCAGCCGCGGUAAUUCCAGCUCCAAUAGCGUAUAUUAAAGUUGCUGCGGUUAAAACGCUCGUAGUUGAAUUGUGGUCUUAGACAACAGUCCCCCUACAUAGGUGUGGCACGGUUGCUCGAGAUCUUCAUUCGUGGUUGCUGUUGUUGCUCUUCAUUGAGUGUCAAUGGUGCCUCGAGAUUUUACUUUGAAAAAAUUAGAGUGCUCAAAGCAGGUUGUGAUGCCUGAAUAAUGGUGCAUGGAAUAAUAGAAUACGAUCUCGGUUCUAUUUUGUUGGUUUCUGAACCCGGAGAUAAUGAUUGAACGGAUAGAUCGGAAGAGCACACGGGGGCAUUCGUAUUGCUGCGUUAGAGGUGAAAUUCUUGGAUCGCAGCAAGAUGAACAAUUGCGAAAGCAUUUGCCAAGAAUGUUUUCAUUAAUCAAGAACGAAAGUCGGAGGUUCGAAGGCGAUCAGAUACCGUCGUAGUUCCGACCAUAAACGAUGCCGACUGGCGAUGCGGCGGCGUUAUUCCCAUGACCCGCCGGGCAGCUUCCGGGAAACCAAAGUGUUUCGGUUCCGGGGGAAGUUUGUCUGCAAAGCUGAAACUUAAAGGAAUUGACGGAAGGGCACCACCAGGAGUGGAGCCUGCGGCUUAAUUUGACACAACACGGGAAAACUCACCCGGCCCGGACACUGGAAGGAUUGACAGAUUGACAGCUCUUUCUUGAUUCAGUGGGUAGUGGUGCAUGGCCGUUCUUAGUUGGUGGAGCGAUUUGUCUGGUUAAUUCCGAUAACGAACGAGACUCUACCCUAUUAAAUAGUGACAGUAUUGUAUUUUUUGUGCUGAUCCCUUCUUAGAGGGACUGGCAAAUUGAAAGCUGCACGAAAAAGAGCAAUAACAGGUCUGUGAUGCCCUUCGAUGUCCGGGGCUGCACGCGCGCUACAAUGAAAGCGUCAACGUGAGUUACGUCCUUACCUGAAAAGGUUUGGCAAUCGAAUGAAACGUUUUCUUGAAUGGAAUAGGGAAUUGCAAUUGUUUCCCUUGAACGAGGAAUUCCCAGUAAGCGUGAGUCAUUAGCUCGCGUUGAUUACGUCCCUGCCCUUUGUACACACCGCCCGUCGCUACUACCGAUUGGAUGAUUUAGUGAGGUGUUUUGACUGGCGCCAGUAGUCGGAUGUAUUCGGCUUCGCGCCGGGAAAUUUCCCAAACCAAAUCAUCUAGAGGAAGUAAAAGUCGUAACAAGGUUUCCGUAGGUGAACCUGCGGAAG
rnacentral:rRNA from 1 species